rnacentral:rRNA from 1 species
AAGCUGUAGUUGAAUUUCGGGGUUAGUAGGUUGGUCAUGCCUCUGGUAUGUACUGGUCUCACUGAUUCCUCCUUCCUUAUGAACCGUAAUGCCAUUAAUUUGGUGUUGCGGGGAAUUUGGACUGUUACUUUGAAAAAAUUAGAGUGUUUAAAGCAAGCUAACGCUUGAAUACAUUAGCAUGGAAUAAUGAAAUAGGACGUUCGAUCUUAUUUUGUUGGUUUCUAGGAUUGACGUAAUGAUUAAUAGGGAUAGUUGGG